rnacentral:rRNA from 1 species
UAAUACGGAGGGUGCGAGCGUUGUUCGGAAUUAUUGGGCGUAAAGCGCGUGCAGGCGGCCAUUUAAGUCUGAUGUGAAAGCCCCGGGCUCAACCCGGGAAGUGCAUUGGAAACUGGCUGGCUUGAGUACGGGAGAGGGUAGUGGAAUUCCGAGUGUAGGGGUGAAAUCCGUAGAUAUUCGGAGGAACACCGGUGGCGAAGGCGGCUACCUGGACCGAUACUGACGCUGAGACGCGAAAGCGUGGGGAGCAAACAGGAUUAGAUACCCUGGUAGUCCACGCCGUAAACGAUGGGUACUAGGUGUCGCGGGUAUUGACCCCUGCGGUGCCGAAGCUAACGCAUUAAGUACCCCGCCUGGGGAGUACGGCCGCAAGGCUA